rnacentral:rRNA from 1 species
AGUCUGGUGCCAGCAGCCGCGGUAAUUCCAGCUCCAAUAGCGUAUAUUAAAGUUGUUGCAGUUAAAAAGCUCGUAGUUGAAAUUUUGAUUGUAGCGGUCAGUCUCACAACAGUGAGUGCUAGAUGUGCUGUGGUCAUGUUUCGUUGGAACGUGUGUGGCAUUGAGUUGUCGUGCAUGGGAAGACGAUCGUUUACUGUGAAAAAAUUAGAGUGUUCAAAGCAGGCUUAUGCCGUUGAAUAUAUUAGCAUGGAAUAAUAAGAUAGGACCAGGGUACUAUUUUGUUGGUUUGUGCACCUUGGUAAUGAUUAAUAGGGACAGUUGGGGAUAUUCGUAUUGCGGUGUCAGAGGUGAAAUUCUUGGAUUUCCGCAAGACGAGCUACUGCGAAAGCAUUUAUCAAGGAUGUUUUCAUUAAUCAAGAACGAAAGUUAGGGGAUCGAAGAUGAUUAGAUACCAUCGUAGUCUUAACCAUAAACUAUGCCGACAAGGGAUUGGCAGGGUGUGUUUAUGCCUCUGUCAGCACCUUAGGAGAAAUCAUAAGUUUUUGGGUUCCGGGGGGAGUAUGGUCGCAAGGCUCAAACUUAAAGACAUUGACGGAAGGGCACCACCAGGAGUGGAGCCUGCGGCUUAAUUUGACCAACACGGGAAAACUUACCAGGUCCAGACAUAGUGAGGAUUGACAGUUUGAGAGCUCUUUCUUGAUUCUAUGGGUGGUGGUGCAUGGCCGUUCUUAGUUGGUGGAGUGAUUUGUCUGGUUAAUUCCGUUAACGAACGAGACCCCCGCCUGCUAAAUAGAUGGUCUAGUGAUUUUUCACUGGAAACAUCUUCUUAGAGGUACGUGCGUUCUAUUAGACGCAGGAAGAUGGGGGCAAUAACAGGUCUGUGAUGCCCUUAGAUGUCCUGGGCCGCACGCGCGCUACACUGAUGCAUUCAACGAGUUGCCUUCACCGAGAGGUGUGGGAAAUCUUGGAAUGUGCAUCGUGAUAGGGAUAGAUUCUUGUAAUUUUUAAUCUUGAACGAGGAAUUCCUAGUAAACGCAGAUCGUCAAUCUGCAUUGAUUACGUCCCUGCCCUUUGUACACGCCGCCCGUCGCACCUACCGAUUGAAUGGUCCGGUGAAGCCUCGGGAUUGUGAUGACUUUUCUUCAUUGAGAGGUCGUUGCGAGAACUUGUCUAAACCUUAUCAUUUAGAGGAAGGUGAAGUC